GAAAUGCGAUAAGUAAUGUGAAUUGCAGAAUUCAGUGAAUCAUCGAAUCUUUGAACGCACAUUGCGCCCCCUGGUAUUCCGGGGGGCAUGCCUGUUCGAGCGUCACUUCACCACUCAAGCCUCGCUUGGUAUUGGGCAACGCGGUCCGCCGCGUGCCUCAAAUCGACCGGCUGGGUCUUCUGUCCCCUAAGCGUUGUGGAAACUAUUCGCUAAAGGGUGUUCGGGAGGCUACGCCGUAAAACAACCCCAUUUCUAAGGUUGACCUCGGAUCAGGUAGGGAUACCCGCUGAACUUAAGC
rnacentral:misc_RNA from 1 species